UGCUCUGGAGCUACUUUUACAAGGCGAGCUGGGGCCCCGCGCUGCCUGCACGUCUGAGAAAGGCCUGCGGUGUGUCCCAGGGCUGCCCCCUUCCGCCAGGCACAGCCGUGUCUGCAGUCCUUGAACCGGAGUCCAUGGCUAGCAGACGUAGGAGCCACGCAUGAUAUAAGUGUCGCCAUCUCCCCACGAUUCCACCUCUCCUUGUCUUGUCAUUGCCGCACAGUUGACAGAGGUGGAGGAGGUAUCUUUUUAGGAAAAGCCAUUGGAUGCAGUGGAGUUCUGUGCAAAUCGCUGAGUCUCUUUCCCAGGCCCUUCACACAUGAGUUAUCUCAGCCCAGCUCCAGCUCCCUCUUUUAUUAUCUCAUUCACCCAAAUGGCAGGCAAGGUCAAAAAGACUGACCUUGGUUGCUAGAAAAUAAUCUCCUUGUUUUGACAAGAAAAGUCUUGGCUUCUCUGUGAGUUUCAUUUUCUGCAAAUGUUGAAGCAUUUUUCUUCCAGAGAAAGACUAUUAACAGAUGCCCAGAGUCCAGGCCGUAUCUCUUAAGCAAAACGUGUUAUUUAUGGAGAUUGUGUGGCCAUCUGAUGCUUGCAACUGGCUCUCUUCAUUUCAGCCUGGACCACAAAAUCUAAAGAAUAGGAGUGAUCACCAAGCCCCCUUGUCACCUCCUUUCCGGGAGACUGAAGCUGAUGGCAGAUGAUGGCAGCACCCUGGACCCAGAGCUUCCAGCUUGGCUGUGCUAGGGAGUGAGUGAGGAUGUGAGGUCUCCCUCACGGCCUGUCCACCCUGGGCAGGUGAGGCUGGAAUCCCUAAUCCACACAACAAGCCAUUAAUAUUAAUACCUGACUUCUAGGAUGGCUGCAUGAAUCAAGCAAGAUCCUGACACACAUUGUUUACGGUGUGGUAGGUGUCACAGCACACAGACAAGUCUCAGCCUCGGACAUCUUUCUGAAAGCCACUUGAAGGGCUCCUCAGCAGGGAGGAGUAAGGAGGGGACAUGUUCCCCACCUGCUCCCCUGACAGCACUCUCUCCCAGUCAAACCUGGGCGUCCAUCUGACUGUGUCCCUCUUCAGCAUCUGCCUUCCCUUCUUUCCACCCUCCUAUCGAAACCUGCUUUUAACCAACGCCCCAUCUGAAAUAGGUCUCUAAGGUUCAUUUUCCCUUUUCCUGGGGGCACUUUGAUUUUAUUGGGACCACAAAUUAAGCCCCCAAAUGAGAUGAUUUUUUCAAACCUGUAGGACACAGGGGAGUUGGGGGAGGAGGAUCUGGCACGUAGCUUGAGGCAGGGCGCCCAGCAUGAGCUGGGACGUGCUAACCGGAUGCUGCACACACAGUGAGGGUGAGGGAGGGGAGUCCUGGACAAAGCUGGGUUGACCCUGAAGGCACUUUGUAUUUUUCCUGCUUUUCUGGAUCCUUGCUCAGCUCCAAAGUGAUGUCCAUGCUGCGUUCAUCUCUUUAUCUUUUAAAGUCCAAGACUGAAGGGAUUUUUACUGAUGAAACCUCAUGAUAGCUACAGACAGACCCUCACAGAAGCCACCACGAAGUGACUUUUCUAAUGAAUUAGAAAAUAAUCAGAAAUAAUUAGAGCAGGGGAUUGAAUAUUCAUGUUCCUGAGACUGUCUCUCAUGGAAGGUGUCCCACACUGGCGUUUCAGAGACAGGUUCCCUUUUGUGACAGGCUUCCUCUGCUGACCUAUUUGGGACUGUGCAUUUGGAAUCCAGGGUUCCCACCUACGUCAAUGGAAAUCUUGUGGGCAGCGGGAAGGCGGGCAUCCAGCACACCCACACUGGGCCAGAGUCCCCAAACAGCUGGGUGGGGCCGAGAGCUUUGCUCCCAGAGAGAGAUGUUACUGUUUGAGACCUCGGAAUCCUGCCCUUCAGUUUAGUGAGAGUGGCUAGAGCUUUCUUACUAAAUUUUCAAAUGAACAGUAAAUUUGUUUAAAGAUACAAAAACUUGAAACAUAAAUAUUUAUAUCUCAAAGACAUCUGUCACAAUUUCUAGGCCUCUGGAAGGGCCAGCAAGUGCUAGCAGAGCGGGUGUCCCCUGCCCGAACCUUCAUGGGGGUCUGCAGGUUGAUUUGUGAACAGUGUGAAGAAGGAGGAGAAGGUGGCCCUUCUGCCCUGUACUGGAGAG
ensembl:lncRNA